AAAACAUAUGAGAACGAUGAUUCUCGUUCUCCACCGAGAGUUAACACCCAUUGACACGCUUAAGCUUUACCGAUGAUACCGAAGAAGCUGAUAAUCAGAUCAUAAGCUCACAUCUCUGCGCCAAUUCUUCUUAUGAUGAUUCGGAUAAAGCACUUGAGAUGAUGAAUUUGUUUCUGUUAGAAAUCUGGGAGAGGGGAUCAGUGAAGAACAGAGGAUGAAUGAAACCAUUUGCAGAUCAAAUUUUGCAAAUCGACAACACUUAAAGCAAUUGUCAUUUCUAUAAGAAUAUAAUACACUGCUCCCAAGUGGCUCAUGCCGUCUUCUUCUAUCAGGUUAUGAUCAAUAAGAUGAGUAAGUCCCAUUACGCAAGGAACAGAUAACUUAUCAUACGGAAAGGAUUAGGUGCAUUAACCUUAUGGUGCAGUUGGAAAAUACAUGCUGAAGAAUACCAUAAAAGUAUGAAGGACACGGACCUGAACUCUCCAAGUGGUUUUGUAUGGUUUGAUGUCAUCGAGGUAAGCAAUUGCUUGAGCCAUUUGUGAUAUCUAAAUAAGAAGGAUGCUAAGGUUAGAGGAAUUUGAGUGAUGGAUUGGAAAUGAGAAUGACGUUGAUAUUUAUAGCAUUCUAGGAUGCUAGGGUUUUUGGCUCCAAUAAUUUUAAAAUCUAGGAGAAUAUCUUGGAGACAAAGCAUAAAAUCAAAGAUACUAUUAACAAAAUAUAUUCGAAUUUGGAAUAGAAUUGAAUGAUUGGCUAUAUUUAGAUAAAUGAUGAAUAUUGUAGAGUUGGUUAUGGUUAGGAUUAUAUUUAUGAGAGAUAGUAAUUACGAUUU